rnacentral:rRNA from 1 species
GCGGGUAGUUAAGUCAGAAGUGAAAUCCAAUAGCUCAACUAUUGAACUGCUUUUGAAACUGAUUACCUAGAAUAUGGGAGAGGUAGAUGGAAUUUCUGGUGUAGGGGUAAAAUCCGUAGAGAUCAGAAGGAAUACCGAUUGCGAAGGCGAUCUACUGGAACAUUAUUGACGCUGAGACGCGAAAGCGUGGGGAGCAAACAGGAUUAGAUACCCUGGUAGUCCACGCCCUAAACGAUGUACACUAGUUGUUGUGAGGCUCGACCUUGCAGUAAUGCAGUUAACACAUUAAGUGUACCGCCUGGGGAGUACGGUCGCAAGAUUAAAACUCAAAGGAAUAGACGGGGACCCGCACAAGCGGUGGAGCAUGUGGUUUAAUUCGACGAUACACGAAGAACCUUACCUGGAUUUGACAUAGUAAGAACUUUCUAGAGAUAGAUUGGUGUCUGCUUGCAGAAACUUAUAUACAGGUGCUGCACGGCUGUCGUCAGCUCGUGUCGUGAGAUGUUGGGUUAAGUCCCGCAACGAGCGCAACCCUCGUCAUUAGUUGCUAACAGUUCGGCUGAGAACUCUAAUGAGACUGCCUACGUAAGUAGGAGGAAGGUGAGGACGACGUCAAGUCAUCAUGGCCCUUACGUCCAGGGCUACACACGUGCUACAAUGGGGUAUACAAAGAGCAGCAAUACGGUGACGUGGAGCAAAUCUCAAAAAUAUCUCCCAGUUCGGAUUGUAGUCUGCAACUCGACUACAUGA